GAACACGCGCGCGCCAAGAGUGCCGCCGUCGGGAGCUUCCACUACUCGUAGUGUUGUACCUCUAGUAUACCUAGUAGAAUUCGUCGUCCGUUGGUUUGUUCGUCUACGCGGGGUUCGCGGUGCUGUCUCUUUCGUGUUUGCCGUGUUGUUCCCGAUCGGUGGCGGUGCUGCUGCUGCUGCAUUCUUCGUCUCUUGGGACGAUCUCUCGGGCGUCGUGUGUUCUGAUCUACUUCUACUUGUGAAAGUGAAAGUGUGAUUCCUUGUAAGAAAAUU